UACAGAGGAGCCAAGCGUUGUCCGGAUUGACUGGGCGUAAAGCGCACGCAGGCGGAUGCGCGCGUGGGGUGUGAAAUCUGGCCGCUUAACGGCCAGGCGCCAUCCCAUACGGCGCGUCUGGAGUGAUGCAGAGGUCGAUGGAAUUGCCGGUGUAGUGGUGAAAUGCGUAGAGAUCGGCAGGAACACCCAGGGGGAAACCAGUCGACUGGGCAUCUACUGACGCUGAGGUGUGAGAGCGUGGGGAGCGAACCGG
rnacentral:rRNA from 1 species